UACGUAGGGUGCAAGCGUUGUCCGGAAUUAUUGGGCGUAAAGAGCUCGUAGGCGGUCUGUCACGUCGGCUGUGAAAUCCUGGGGCUCAACUCCGGGACUGCAGCCGAUACGGGCAGACUAGAGUUCGGCAGGGGAGACUGGAAUUCCUGGUGUAGCGGUGAAAUGCGCAGAUAUCAGGAGGAACACCGGUGGCGAAGGCGGGUCUCUGGGCCGAUACUGACGCUGAGGAGCGAAAGCGUGGGGAGCAAACAGG
rnacentral:rRNA from 1 species